rnacentral:rRNA from 1 species
CAAUAGCGUAUAUUUAAGUUGUUGCAGUUAAAAAGCUCGUAGUCGGAUUUUGGCUGAGAACGAACGGUCCGCCGUUAGGUGUGCACUGUUUGGUCUCAGCUUCCUGGUGAGGAGGUGUGCUUCACGGCCACUUAGUCACCGUGGUUACUUUGAAAAAAUUAGAGUGUUCAAAGCGGGCUUACGCUUGAAUAUAUUAGCAUGGAAUAACACCAUAGGACUCCUGUCCUAUUUCGUUGGUCUCGGGACGGGAGCAAUGAUUAAGAGGAACAGUUGGGGGCAUUCGUAUUUCAUUGUCAGAGGUGAAAUUCUUGGAUUUAUGAAAGACGAACUUCUGCGAAAGCAUUUGCCAAGGAUGUUUUCAUUGA